rnacentral:rRNA from 1 species
CGGCAUGGCGGGGUGCUAUACAUGCAGUCGAACGAACUCUGGUAUUGAUUGGUGCUUGCAUCAUGAUUUACAUUUGAGUGAGUGGCGAACUGGUGAGUAACACGUGGGAAACCUGCCCAGAAGCGGGGGAUAACACCUGGAAACAGAUGCUAAUACCGCAUAACAACUUGGACCGCAUGGUCCAAGUUUGAAAGAUGGCUUCGGCUAUCACUUUUGGAUGGUCCCGCGGCGUAUUAGCUAGAUGGUGGGGUAACGGCUCACCAUGGCAAUGAUACGUAGCCGACCUGAGAGGGUAAUCGGCCACAUUGGGACUGAGACACGGCCCAAACUCCUACGGGAGGCAGCAGUAGGGAAUCUUCCACAAUGGACGAAAGUCUGAUGGAGCAACGCCGCGUGAGUGAAGAAGGGUUUCGGCUCGUAAAACUCUGUUGUUAAAGAAGAACAUAUCUGAGAGUAACUGUUCAGGUAUUGACGGUAUUUAACCAGAAAGCCACGGCUAACUACGUGCCAGCAGCCGCGGUAAUACGUAGGUGGCAAGCGUUGUCCGGAUUUAUUGGGCGUAAAGCGAGCGCAGGCGGUUUUUUAAGUCUGAUGUGAAAGCCUUCGGCUCAACCGAAGAAGUGCAUCGGAAACUGGGAAACUUGAGUGCAGAAGAGGACAGUGGAACUCCAUGUGUAGCGGUGAAAUGCGUAGAUAUAUGGAAGAACACCAGUGGCGAAGGCGGCUGUCUGGUCUGUAACUGACGCUGAGGCUCGAAAGUAUGGGUAGCAAACAGGAUUAGAUACCCUGGUAGUCCAUACCGUAAACGAUGAAUGCUAAGUGUUGGAGGGUUUCCGCCCUUCAGUGCUGCAGCUAACGCAUUAAGCAUUCCGCCUGGGGAGUACGGCCGCAAAGGCUGAAACUCAAGGAUUUGACGGGGGCCCGCACAAGCGGUGGAGCAUGUGGUUUAAUUCGAAGCUACGCGAAGAACCUUACCAGUCUUGACAUACUAUGCAAAUCUAGGAGAUUAGACGUUCCCUUCGGGGACAUGGAUACAGGUGGUGCAUGGUUGUCGUCAGCUCUGUCUGAGAUGUUGGGUUA